AACUUGUUCCUCGAGUCGUUGAUUUCACACUGCCGAGAAAAGCCUCUAGCUAGAAUAACGGUGCCCGUACCGCAAACCGACACAGGUAGUCAAGAUGAGAAUUCUAAGGUGAGCGAGCGAACUCUCGUUAAGGAACUCGGCAAAAUGACCCCGUAACUUCGGGAGAAGGGGUGCUCUUUGAGGUUCACGCUUCGAAGAGCCGCAGUGAAUAGGCCCAAGCGACUGUUUAUCAAAAACACAGGUCUCUGCUAAACCGUAAGGUGACGUAUAGGGGCUGACGCCUGCCCGGUGCUGGAAGGUUAAGAGGAGUGGUUAGCGCAAGCGAAGCUACGAAUCGAAGCCCCAGUAAACGGCGGCCGUAACUAUAACGGUCCUAAGGUAGCGAAAUUCCUUGUCGGGUAAGUUCCGACCCGCACGAAAGGCGUAACGAUUUGGGCACUGUCUCAACGAGAGACUCGGUGAAAUCAUAGUACCGGUGAAGAUGCCGGUUACCCGCGACAGGACGGAAAGACCCCGUGGAGCUUUACUGUAGCCUGAUAUUGAAAUUCGGUACAGUUUGUACAGGAUAGGUAGGAGCCUUAGAAGCGUGAGCGCUAGCUUACGUGGAGGCAUUGGUGGGAUACUACCCUAAUUGUAUUGGAUUUCUAACCCGCAGCACUUAUCGUGCUGGGAGACAGUGUCAGGCGGGCAGUUUGACUGGGGCGGUCGCCUCCUAAAGAGUAACGGAGGCGCUCAAAGGUUCCCUCAGAAUGGUUGGAAAUCAUUCAUAGAGUGUAAAGGCAUAAGGGAGCUUGACUGCGAGACCUACAAGUCGAGCAGGGUCGAAAGACGGACUUAGUGAUCCGGUGGUUCCGCAUGGAAGGGCCAUCGCUCAACGGAUAAAAGCUACCCCGGGGAUAACAGGCUUAUCUCCCCCAAGAGUUCACAUCGACGGGGAGGUUUGGCACCUCGAUGUCGGCUCAUCGCAUCCUGGGGCUGUAGUCGGUCCCAAGGGUUGGGCUGUUCGCCCAUUAAAGCGGUACGCGAGCUGGGUUCAGAACGUCGUGAGACAGUUCGGUCCCUAUCCGUCGUGGGCGUAGGAAAUUUGAGAGGAGCUGUCCUUAGUACGAGAGGACCGGGAUGGACAUACCUCUGGUGUACCAGUUGUCGUGCCAACGGCAUAGCUGGGUAGCUAUGUAUGGACGGGAUAAGUGCUGAAAGCAUCUAAGCAUGAAGCCCCCCUCGAGAUGAGAUUUCCCAACUUCGGUUAUAAGAUCCCUCAAAGAUGAUGAGGUGAAU
rnacentral:rRNA from 1 species